UACGUAGGGUGCAAGCGUUAAUCGGAAUUACUGGGGCGUAAAGCGUGCGCAGGCGGUUAUGCAAGACAGAUGUGAAAUCCCCCGGGCUCAACCUGGGAACUGCAUUUGUGACUGCAUGGCUAGAGUACGGUAGAGGGGGAUGGAAUUCCGCGUGUAGCAGCGAAAUGCGUAGAUAUGCGGAGGAACACCGAUGGCGAAGGCAAUCCCCUGGACCUGUACUGACGCUCAUGCACGAAAGCGUGGGGAGCAAACAGG
rnacentral:rRNA from 1 species